rnacentral:rRNA from 1 species
UAAUACGGAGGGGGCAAGCGUUAUUCGGAUUUACUGGGCGUAAAGCGCACGUAGGUGGCAUGGUAAGUCAAGGGUGAAAGCCCUCGGCUCAACCGAGGAACUGCCUUUGAAACUGCCUUGCUUGAGUCCGGGAGGGGGGAGCGGAAUUCCCAGUGUAGCGGUGAAAUGCGUAGAUACUGGGAGGAACACCGGUGGCGAAGGCGGCUCCCUGGACCGGUACUGACACUGAGGUGCGAAAGCGUGGGUAGCAAACAGGAUUAGAUACCCUGGUAGUCCACGCCGUAAACGAUGGGCACUAGGUGCAGCGGGUGUCGACCCCUGCUGUGCCGUAGUUAACGCAUUAAGUGCCCCGCCUGGGGACUACGGUCGCAAGGCUG